CCAUUUUUCCCCUGAAGGAUUAUAAUCAGUUUUUCUAGCUCUGGAAGCCUCACUGCCAAUUCAGUUACCCCUAAGGCCUUCUGACCACUUGCCAGCCAUAACCUUUGCUGGACUGCACUCCACUGGAAUUAUAUCCAACAUGCUGGAGACCUCCUUCGAUUUUGCUGGACUUUACAAGGACACCAAUAGAGCAUGCUGGUUGUAUGUGGUUUCUGCCCAAUUUAUUUUCUUUUUUUGUUAUGUAUUUCUUGAACUAAUUUAUUUAAUUAUCCUUUGAUAUAUUUGUCAAAGUCUUCACUAUUUCUCUGCCAAAAAUUUACAAACAAUUCUACUUUUCUCUGUUUGCUUCACAUGUCUCUUCCUGCCCCCAGCAUAUUUCUAUCCCCAGAUGUGUGAGAAGAAUAAAAACGUUUUUAUGAUGUUCAUGUUUAUGUAUGGCACUUAUGGCAA